UACGAGGGGUGCAAGCGUUGCUCGGAAUUAUUGGGCGUAAAGGGUAGGUAGGUGGUCUUAUUUGUCUGGGGUGAAAUCCUUGAGCUUAACUCAAGAAGUGCCCCAGAAACGGUAAGACUAGAGUCCUGGAGAGGGUCGUGGAAUUCCCGGUGUAGCGGUGAAAUGCGUAGAGAUCGGGAGGAACACCAGAGGCGAAGGCGGCGACCUGGACAGGCACUGACACUAAACUACGAAAGCGUGGGGAGCAAACAGG
rnacentral:rRNA from 1 species